AUUGAACGCUGGCGGCAGGCCUAACACAUGCAAGUCGAGCGGAUGAAGGGAGCUUGCUCCUGGAUUCAGCGGCGGACGGGUGCGUAAUGCCUAGGAAUCUGCCUGGUAGUGGGGGAUAACGUCCGGAAACGGGCGCUAAUACCGCAUACGUCCUGAGGGAGAAAGUGGGGGAUCUUCGGACCUCACGCUCUCAGCUGAGCCUAGGUCGGAUUAGCUAGUUGGUGGGGUAAAGGCCUACCAAGGCGACGAUCCGUAACUGGUCUGAGAGGAUGAUCAGUCACACUGGAACUGAGACACGGUCCAGACUCCUACGGGAGGCAGCAGUGGGGAAUAUUGGACAAUGGGCGAAAGCCUGAUCCAGCCAUGCCGCGUGUGUGAAGAAGGUCUUCGGAUUGUAAAGCACUUUAAGUUGGGAGGAAGGGCAGUAAGUUAAUACCUUGCUGUUUUGACGUUACCAACAGAAUAAGCACCGGCUAACUUCGUG
rnacentral:rRNA from 1 species